UACGUAGGGUCCGAGCGUUGUCCGGAAUUACUGGGCGUAAAGCGCGUGUAGGCGGGUCUUUAAGUCAGGGGUGAAAUGCCAGGGCUCAACCUUGGAACUGCCUUUGAUACUGGAGACCUUGAGUCCGGGAGAGGUGAGUGGAAUUGCGAGUGUAGAGGUGAAAUUCGUAGAUAUUCGCAAGAACACCAGUGGCGAAGGCGGCUCACUGGCCCGGAACUGACGCUGAGACGCGAAAGCGUGGGGAGCAAACAGG
rnacentral:rRNA from 1 species